CCCUUAGAUGUUCUGGGCCGCACGCGCGCUACACUGACGAAUGCAACGAGCUUAUAACCUUGGCCGAAAGGUCUGGGUAAUCUCCAAAUUUCGUCGUGAUGGGGAUAGAUUAUUGCAAUUAUUAAUCUUCAACGAGGAAUGCCUAGUAAGCGCGAGUCAUCAGCUUGCGUUGAUUACGUCCCUGCCCUUUGUACACACCGCCCGUCGCUCCUACCGAUUGAAUGGUCCGGUGAAGCGUUCGGACCGUGGCCUUUGGACGGUUCGCCGUCUGUUGGCUGCGGGAAGUUCGUUAAACCUUAUCAUUUAGAGGAAGGAGAANUCGUANCA
rnacentral:rRNA from 1 species